rnacentral:rRNA from 1 species
UACGAAGGGGGCUAGCGUUGCUCGGAUUGACUGGGCGUAAAGGGCGCGUAGGCGGUUUGCACAGUCAGACGUGAAAUUCCUGGGCUCAACCUGGGGGCUGCGUUUGAUACGUGCAGGCUUGAGUUCGGAAGAGGGUCGUGGAAUUCCCAGUGUAGAGGUGAAAUUCGUAGAUAUUGGGAAGAACACCGGUGGCGAAGGCGGCGACCUGGUCCGACACUGACGCUGAGGCGCGAAAGCGUGGGGAGCGAACAGG